rnacentral:rRNA from 1 species
AGUGAACGCUGGCGGUAGGCCUAACACAUGCAAGUCGAACGGCAGCACAGUAAGAGCUUGCUCUUACGGGUGGCGAGUGGCGGACGGGUGAGGAAUACAUCGGAAUCUACUUUUUCGUGGGGGAUAACGUAGGGAAACUUACGCUAAUACCGCAUACGACCUACGGGUGAAAGCAGGGGAUCUUCGGACCUUGCGCGAUUGAAUGAGCCGAUGUCGGAUUAGCUAGUUGGCGGGGUAAAGGCCCACCAAGGCGACGAUCCGUAGCUGGUCUGAGAGGAUGAUCAGACACACUGGAACUGAGACACGGUCCAGAUUCCUACGGGAGGCAGCAGUGGGGAAUAUUGGACAAUGGGCGCAAGCCUGAUCCAGCCAUACCGCGUGGGUGAAGAAGGCCUUCGGGUUGUAAAGCCCUUUUGUUGGGAAAGAAAAGCAGCAGGUUAAUACCACGCUGUUCUGACGGUACCAAAAGAAUAAGCACCGGCUAACUUCGUG